AGACAGGGGAGCUGGACAGAAGGGGUCAGGUUUCUUGAAGCAGCUGGAAGUCCUGGAAGUCUGGUUCCCACCUGGAGAGUCUCUUCCCAUAGGAGAUGCGCACCCAGGCGCCGGAGGGCGGAGCCCAACAUCCUCGUACCCACCAAUCAAUCUGUCCCUUCUCUGGUUCAAGCGCAUCUGGAAGAAUCAAGGCAGCUGAUUCUCUGCAACAUUCCAGGACAGAAAGCUGCCAGUCACCACUCCCCCCAUCCCUGUGAAGAGACUCACUUCUAACAGGUCAGUGUCAAAAUAAAUACCUUACAGCAUAUUAUUGAUCAGAAUGAUCAGAAAAAUAAUUAUCAGUGAAAUAAUUUGAUACUAUGCCUAAAGUUGUUCCAUCAAAAUUAUGAAUAUUUCUCUUCCAUAAAAUUUUAUAAAUGUAAAAGGGGGGGGAGGCACUGGAGCUGGGAGCUGCUCUCUUACUCUCUAUAAGGGGUAUGAAGAAGCUAUGUGUGUGCCUACUUUGAAAUACAGAAAUACAGAGCAGUGACUAAGAGCUUGAGCAUCAUGUGAAGUCUAGAUUCGGGUCCCAGCAAACUCCUCCCCUUGCUAAUUAUAUGAUCUCAUUCAAGUUUCCUGAAAUGUGUGCACCUCUGAGCAUGUAUAAAAUGAGAUUCAGGGGAGUUCCCAUCGUGGCACAGCGGAAACGAAUCCAACUAGGAACCACGAGGUUGCGGGUUCGAUCCCUGGCUUGCUCAGUGGGUUAAGGUUCUGGCGUUGCCAUGAUCUGUGGUGUAGGUUGAAGACUUGGCUUGGAUCUGGCGUUGCUGUUGCUCUGGCAUAGGCCAGCAGCUACAGCUCUGAUUGGACUCCUAGCCUGGGAACCUCUAUACGCUGCAGGUGUGGCCCUAAAAAAACAACAACAACAACAAAAAUGAGAUUCAGAGUUGUUCCUACCUCACAGGACUGCUAAGGGGACUAAAUAGAAAACCGUGCCUACAAAGUACUUAUAGCAGUUUCGAGCCUCUUAUACUUUAAAGGCGUUGGUGCUGGCUUUCGAGACUGUGGGCUCCUCAGUCUUGGUUCCCAGUGUCACUCUGCUUACCCAAUUCCCCUGUAUACGAAAAGUGUUCUCCUCAUUCAAGUCCCUGUCUCAGAUGCUUUCCUCUUUAACCAUUGGGAAGUCCUUCCUGCGCCUAACCCCUGUCUCUCCUGCUUCAUGCUCUAGCUUUCAUUUACAGGAAGAUGGAGCUCAGCUCCUCAGCUUUCAGCCUCCUCCUCAGUGUUUCCUUCCUCUUGCUCUGUCCCUCCUCUUCUUUCCACAAGUCCUUAAUGUGAGCUCAGUCAUUCACACACACAUUUAUUUAGCACCUGCCGUGUGCCAGAAACUAUGCUGGGAGCUGCGGAUAACAACUAAACAUAAAUAGUCCUUACUAGUUAUCAGGCCCUAUUUAAGCAUCGUACCUAUAUUACUUCAUCUAAGCUUCGCAGUGCUCAGGGAGGUAGGCGUGCCAUUAUUCGCCACAUUUUGCUGAUGGGGCCAUUGAGGUAGAGAGAGCAACUUAUUCAGAGUCAUGCAAUUAGGAAGUGGAGGAAUCAGAUUUAAAAAACGAGUAAAACUGGAGUUCCCUUGUGGCACCGGGGAUUAAAGACCUGCUGCUGUCUCUGCUGGGGCUCUCGUUACUGCUGCAGCUUCGGUUCAGUCCCUGGCUCAGGAACUUCCAUAUGCCUCAGGUUCAUCAAAAAAAAAAAAAAAAAAAAAAAAAAAAAAA
rnacentral:lncRNA from 1 species